AUUGAACGCUGGCGGCAGGCCUAACACAUGCAAGUCGAGCGAGCGGCGGACGGGUGAGAAAUGUCUGGGAAAAUGCCUGAUGGAGGGGGAUAACUACAGGAAACGGGAGCUAAUACAGCAUACCAUCAGAUGUGCCCCGAUGGGAUUAGCUAGUAGGUGGGGUAAAGGCUCACUUAGGCGAGAAUCCCUAGCUGGUCUGAGAGGAUGACCAGCCACACUGGAACUGAGACACGGUCCAGACUCCUACGGGAGGCAGCAGUGGGGAAUAUUGCACAAUGGGCGCAAGCCUGAUGCAGCCAUGCCGCGUGUGUGAAGAAGGCCUUCGGGUUGUAAAGCACUUUCAGCGGGGAGGCGUUACUCGCAGAAGAAGCACCGGCUAACUCCGUGCCAGCAGCCGCGGUAAUAC
rnacentral:rRNA from 1 species